rnacentral:tRNA from 1 species
AGCUUUAUAUUCAAUUUAUGAUUUUAAAUUGCAAAUUUAAAGGUGAAUAUUUAAUUCUAAGGCUU